CCUACGGGGGGCUGCAGUGGGGAAUAUUGGACAAUGGGCGAAAGCCUGAUCCAGCCAUGCCGCGUGUGUGAAGAAGGCCUUCGGGUUGUAAAGCACUUUCAGUGGGGAAGAAAGCCUUGGGGCUAAUACCCUCGAGGAAGGACAUCACCCACAGAAGAAGCACCGGCUAACUCCGUGCCAGCAGCCGCGGUAAUACGGAGGGUGCGAGCGUUAAUCGGAAUUACUGGGCGUAAAGCGCGCGUAGGCGGUCUGAUAAGCCGGGUGUGAAAGCCCCGGGCUCAACUUGGGAACGGCAUCCGGAACUGUCAGGCUAGAGUGCAGGAGAGGAAGGUAGAAUUCCCGGUGUAGCGGUGAAAUGCGUAGAGAUCGGGAGGAAUACCAGUGGCGAAGGCGGCCUUCUGGACUGACACUGACGCUGAGGUGCGAAAGCGUGGGUAGCAAACAGGAUUAGAUACCCCGGUAGUC
rnacentral:rRNA from 1 species